rnacentral:rRNA from 1 species
UACGUAGGUGGCAAGCGUUGUCCGGAAUUAUUGGGCGUAAAGCGCGCGCAGGCGGCCUUUUAAGUCUGAUGUGAAAGCCCACGGCUCAACCGUGGAAGGUCAUUGGAAACUGAAAGGCUUGAGUACAGAAGAGGAAAGCGGAAUUCCACGUGUAGCGGUGAAAUGCGUAGAGAUGUGGAGGAACACCGGUGGCGAAGGCGGCCUGCUGGGCAGUUGCUGACACUGAGGCGCGACAGCGUGGGGAGCAAACAGG